GGGAAUCCGUUAAGCAAGAACCGGGACCAGCUAUGAACUGCAGAAACCACCAGGGAAUCACAAACUCAAGAAGGAAACAUAGCCCCACUUGGCUUUCCCAAGCACAGCAGUAGGCAGAGGACAAAAAUAAUGAAGGGAAGGUAUCUGUCAUUGGUAGAGUGAGGCAGCAGAGGUGUCUGUCUCCUGAUUUGUGUAGACUGAAGAGCUCCACUUGGACUCUGCAUCACAAACGUCUGAGAAGUCCAGGUAAAAUGCGGUUAUGGCACAAUCACCUUGACUGUCUGGUCAUCCGGGCAGCCACAGCCUCUCACCCCGUUGUGACCUUUACACACCCUUCCAGCCCACAUCUGUUACGUAGGAGCCCAGGCACAUUUUUCACAGGCCGCUUCUGCAGCAGUAUCCACAGUAAUGCUUCCUUCAGAAAACUCACUCCAUCGACUUUCCAUGUUCCAGAGAUUUCUCCCAGUUUCAAUGCAUCAAAGAUAGUCCCCGCUCUCUGGCCCCUGUUCAUGGUUUCAAAGGAUAGACUGUUCGUCCUCGGUAUUUUGGGUGGAAAGGUGAAAUUGUCACUUUUGUUUAAACCCCUCCUCUUGAGCCAAAAGACACGAUAUGUUCUCAAUAAAUAGUUGUUGGAUGGAGGGAUGGGUAGAUUCAAUGUUUCCUUACCAAUUAAAAAAGUUUCAACUUUGAAAAA